CUAACAGAAAUUAAUGUAAGUAUCACCUGCUCAAUGAAAUGAUAAAUAGCCGCAGAUCCUGUGCUAAGGUAGCAUAAUAAUUUGCCUUUUAAUUAGAGGCUAGAAUGAAAGGUAUAACAUAUUGAAAACUUUAUUAAUUUAUUUAAUUUAACCUAACCUUUUAGUAAAAAGGCUAAAAUUUUCAGGAAGACGACAAGACCCUGACAAACUUUACAUUUUUGUUUUACUGGGGGGGUAAAAAAACUUUAUCUUUUUAAUAUAAUAACCAAAAUUAUUUUUAUAUAAGUUACUGCAGGGAUAACAGCAUAAUUUUUUCCUAAAGAUCUUAUAAAAGAAAAAGUUUGUGACCUCGAUGUUGAAUUAGAAACCUAUAAGGAGCAAAAUCUUUACAAGUAAGUCUGUUCGACUUUUAAUAUUCUACAUGAUUUGAGUUCAGACCGGCGUAAGCCAGGUCGGUUUCUAUCUCUUUUUAAAAGUUUUUAGUACGAAAGGACCAAAAUUUAAAUUUUUCAUUUA
rnacentral:rRNA from 1 species